AUUCUGAUAUUUGACAAUUAAAGUAGUUGACUGUUUCACUCCUUUUGCCUUUUAAUAUUCUAGGAACCACCGCCCAAAGAGAGGAUCUGUUGCUGUCGAUAAGUUAUUAAAAGCCAACUGGAUGCCCUAUAUGCAUGGGUCAUCAACUGGGAGCUUCUCUGUAAGAAUAUUACGCAUCACUCUUCUCAUAGAUAUCCAGCAUAUACAAAGCUCAGAGAAGAUAAAAAUGAAGAGGAAAUUGGUUCUGUUCCUAAGGAAUUUAAUCUAACAGGAGAGACAACUGAAUCCACUGCAAUAUCCCCCAAAUGCAGGCCUUGUUUAAAAGGAGCAAGGAGAGUACAAAAAGAGGAAGCAAUUAAUUCUAUUUUGGGCUUAGGAAGAAGGCUUGACGGGUUCAUGGCAAUUGGGCUUAGUGUUAGGAGAUAAGAUUUUCCAGGUAUAAAUAACAGUGUAAAUGUCUUAAAGAUGUGGAAGUUUAUGGCUUCCUAUUACAACUAUUUAUCUUCUAUCAUUUAAAAUAACCUGUACUACAUUGCAAAAGUGCUUGGAACUCCUUCUAGUUAGCACACUAUGCAUAUGUAUAUUUUGAUAUCAGAAAUUUACAGAUUUUAAAAAUUGCUUCAGAAUUUUCCUAACAUCUGCCAAAGUGAAGAUCCAUAAUUUGAUGACUUACUUAUGUAAAAUAUGUUCUACAUAAUUUAUUUUAUGACUCAAUAAAGUCAUAUAUUGAAAGACAUAUACUUUUAUGAAUUAAUAUAACCAGUAAGUUAAACUAGCAUUACUCAUAGAUGAAACCACAAAGCAACUUUGUGUUCAAG
ensembl:lncRNA